CGUGUAGGCGGUUUUAUAAGUCUGAUGUGAAAGCCCUGGGCUCAACCUGGGAAGUGCAUUGGAUACUGUAAGACUUGAGUACGGGAGAGGGCAGUGGAAUUCCUAGUGUAGGAGUGAAAUCCGUAGAUAUUAGGAGGAACACCGGUGGCGAAGGCGGCUGCCUGGACCGAUACUGACGCUGAGACGCGAAAGCGUGGGGAGCAAACA
rnacentral:rRNA from 1 species